rnacentral:snoRNA from 1 species
UCACAUGAUGUUUUUACUUUAAUCACGACGGUCUACGUAGUUUCUACAUUGACGAAGAUUGCCUGUGACAAGGCGCUUUUUCUGAAUGUA